rnacentral:rRNA from 1 species
AUGGGCCCGGUGUGCCAGGGGCCUGUUUUACCCGACUGUACUGAUGUUUAUUUCACCUGUAUUGCUGUAUCGACAGGCUUUGGCUUCUGCUCCUCUCCCGUCGUCCUCCCAAAUUCCAGCAAUGGCAGAGCCAAUUCCAACAGAUUCCGGCACCACAGUAACGCCUCCAGUCUAUCGGAGACGCAAUUCCUCCGAGGAAUCACGCGGCAUCUCAAAUGCAGGCGGCAAGGAUCAUGGAGUGGCCAGCUCUGCAGGGGAGACUAG